AGGAAUCAGAAAGCAAUUGUAUGGUGGAGGCAAAUCACAGCUAUCACUUCUUCAGGGCCGUGUAAUAGCCACUCCUCGAACUACUUGGAGCAGAAAAGGCAGUGCCGUUCAGAGAUUGACAGCACUGGAGUACAGCUUCUCUGCUUAGUCACAGCAUUAGUACCACCAUCAUAUUUGAUUCAAGUCAGCAAUCCUAUUUCUGAAAUAGGUCUGACCAGGCAAUUUUUCCUGGAAAAGGAACUCAUGACGUCUAUUCUCCCUGAAGAACACCCUGAAAAAGGC
rnacentral:lncRNA from 1 species